AGACUAACAGACAUAUUGGAGCAUAAGCUUUUGUGGGUGAAUACUCACUUCGUCAGACGCAUAUAGUGGAAAUUUCCAGAGUCAGGUAUAAAUAUGUAAGCGAGAAUCAGGCUAGAGAUAACGAGGUUAGUUCAAUCAGGGAGGAUGAGAGGCCCUCUUCUAGCAGUUGAGGUGUGAACACCA